AACGAACGCUGGCGGCAGGCUUAACACAUGCAAGUCGAACGCACCGCAAGGUGAGUGGCAGACGGGUGAGUAACGCGUGGGGACCUACCCUUUGGUUCGGAAUAACUCAGGGAAACUUGAGCUAAUACCGGAUAAGCCCUUCGGGGGAAGGAUUUAUCGCCAUAGGAUGGGCCCGCGUCGGAUUAGCUAGUUGGUAGGGUAAUGGCCUACCAAGGCAACGAUCCGUAGCUGGUCUGAGAGGAUGAUCAGCCACACUGGGACUGAGAC
rnacentral:rRNA from 1 species